rnacentral:rRNA from 1 species
UACGUAGGGGGCAAGCGUUGUCCGGAUUUAUUGGGCGUAAAGAGCGUGUAGGCGGCUUGGUAGGUCCGCUGUGAAAACUCGAGGCUCAACCUCGAGAUGUCGGCGGAAACCACUUGGCUAGAGUCCGGAAGAGGAGAGUGGAAUUCCCGGUGUAGCGGUGAAAUGCGCAGAUAUCGGGAAGAACACCUAUGGCGAAGGCAGCUCUCUGGGACGGUA